GUGAAGGAGGCUGAAAAGGAGAAGCCUAUGCAAACUGGAAUACACACAAUCUUCUGACAGCCACUGAGUCUGCAUCUUUCUGCUGUGAAAUCAGUAACAGCUGGUUCAUUUCACAUAUAAGGACUGCGGCGGAUGCCAAGCCCUUGCCUGCACCAGCUGAGCAGGCUGCACUGGGAAUAUCCUCCAAGAUGCUACUUGCACAAGCCCUGUCAGCUGCUUCUGCUCUACCUACAAGUAAAAGACUCCACUACCCCAGAGAUCAGGGAGAUACAGCUGUACGUGGUUAGACAGGAUUUAAGGUCUACAAAUAUAUGUUAGAUUUUG